rnacentral:rRNA from 1 species
UACGAAGGGUGCAAGCGUUACUCGGAAUUACUGGGCGUAAAGCGUGCGUAGGUGGUUUGUUAAGUCUGAUGUGAAAGCCCUGGGCUCAACCUGGGAAUUGCAUUGGAUACUGACAGGCUAGAGUGCGGUAGAGGAUGGCGGAAUUCCCGGUGUAGCAGUGAAAUGCGUAGAGAUCGGGAGGAACAUCUGUGGCGAAGGCGGCCAUCUGGACCAGCACUGACACUGAGGUGCGAAAGCGUGGGGAGCAAACAGG